rnacentral:rRNA from 1 species
AUUGAACGCUGGCGGCAUGCUUUACACAUGCAAGUCGGACGGCAGCACAGAGAAGAUUGCUUCUUGGGUGGCGAGUGGCGAACGGGUGAGUAAUAUAUCGGAACGUACCGAGUAAUGGGGGAUAACUAAUCCAAAGAUUAGCUAAUACCGCAUAUUCUCUGAGGAGGAAAGCAGGGGACCUUCGGGCCUUGCGUUAUUCGAGCGGCCGAUAUCUGAUUAGCUAGUUGGUGGGGUAAAGGCCUACCAAGGCGACGAUCAGUAGCGGGUCUGAGAGGAUGAUCCGCCACACUGGGACUGAGACACGGCCCAGACUCCUACGGGAGGCAGCAGUGGGGAAUUUUGGACAAUGGGCGCAAGCCUGAUCCAGCCAUGCCGCGUGUCUGAAGAAGGCCUUCGGGUUGUAAAGGACUUUUGUCAGGGAAGAAAAGGCUGUUGCUAAUACCGACAGCUGAUGACGGUACCUGAAGAAUAAGCACCGGCUAACUACGUG